AUGACGAACUCGUUACGGUGUGCUUUAGACAUGCAAGUCGAACGAGAAAGCCCUUCGGGGUGAGUAGAGUGGCGAACGGGUGAGUAACACGUGGGUAACCUGCCCCUCGCAGAGGGAUAACCGGGGGAAACCCCGGCUAAUACCUCGUACGCUUGCCGGGCCGCAUGGCUUGGCAAGGAAAGGUAGCUUCGGCCAUCCGGCGAGGGAUGGGCCCGCGGUCCAUUAGCUAGUUGGUGAGGUAACGGCCCACCAAGGCGACGAUGGAUAGCUGGUCUGAGAGGAUGAUCAGCCACACUGGGACUGAGACACGGCCCAGACUCCUACGGGAGGCAGCAGUCGGGAAUCUUGCGCAAUGGGCGAAAGCCUGACGCAGCAACACCGUGUGGGCGACGAAGGCCUUCGGGUCGUAAAGCCCUGUUGUUGGGGACGAAGGACGAAGGGUUAAUAGCCCCUAGUCUGACGGUACCCUUCGAGGAAGCCCCGGCUAACUACGUGCCAGCAGCCGCGGUAAUACGUAGGGGGCGAGCGUUGUUCGGAAUUACUGGGCGUAAAGGGCGCGUAGGCGGCAGGGCAAGUCAGGUGUGAAAGCCCCGGGCUCAACUCGGGAACUGCAUCUGAAACUGCUUUGCUUGAGUCCUGGAGGGGGUAGUGGAAUUCCCAGUGUAGCGGUGAAAUGCGUAGAUAUUGGGAGGAACACCGGUGGCGAAGGCGGCUACCUGGACAGUGACUGACGCUGAGGCGCGAAAGCUAGGGGAGCGAACGGGAUUAGAUACCCCGGUAGUCCUAGCUGUAAACGAUGGGCACUUGGUGUCGGGGGUAUUGAGUCCCUCGGUGCCGGAGUUAACACGUUAAGUGCCCCGCCUGGGGAGUACGGUCGCAAGACUGAAACUCAAAGGAAUUGACGGGGGCCCGCACAAGCGGUGGAGCAUGUGGUUCAAUUCGGCGCAACGCGAAGAACCUUACCGGGGCUCGAACGGUAACUGCGACCUGUGGAAACACGGGGUCCUCUUCGGAGGCGGUUAUCGAGGUGCUGCAUGGCUGUCGUCAGCUCGUGUCGUGAGAUGUUGGGUUAAGUCCCGCAACGAGCGCAACCCUUGCCCUUAGUUGCUACCAGGUUAAGCUGAGCACCCUAAGGGAACUGUCGGCGAAAAGCCGGAGGAAGGUGGGGAUGACGUCAAGUCCUCAUGGCCCUUACGUCCCGGGCUACACACGUGCUACAAUGGUCGGUACAAAGGGUUGCCAACCCGCGAGGGGGAGCUAAUCCCAAAAAGCCGAUCUCAGUUCGGAUUGCAGUCUGCAACUCGACUGCAUGAAGGCGCGAAUCGCUAGUAAUCGCAGAUCAGCAUGCUGCGGGAUAUAAAUUCCCGGGCGGUGAC
rnacentral:rRNA from 1 species